AAGCGUUCAUGUUUCAUCUGUCAAACAACUUCAAUCAAUUAAUAAUUAAAAACUAUAUCAUGAAGCCAAUCAGUUUCAAAAUCUAUUUUGAAUUCUAAUGAUGAAUUUGAAUACUUAUAAAAUAUUUUAUAAUUUUGAAUUUGAAAUUUGAAUAUGGUUCAAAUCUGACUUGCGAGAGGCGAACUGAGAAGAGAUAGAGUGAUGGAGGAAAGACGGGGGCAAUUCGAAAUUUAAAUCUGGUAUGCAUGAUGCAUAUUUUAUAUGUUUUCAAAGAGUUAUAAUGGUCAUAUUAUUAUGGAUUUUUUGUUAGUUUGUUAUAAAAUCAAUAAUGCUUAAAAAUAGAGUAUAUGUUAAAAGGUGGUACUCCCUUCGGUCUAAAAUAAGUUUUAGGCCUUUUCUUGUACGGUCCAAAAUAAGUACAUUAUUGAGAUUUUAAAAAUAAAUUAAUUAUUUUUUUCUGUAUUGCCAUUAAAAUAAAUAUUAUUGGAGUUUGUAUUAAAAAUAUUUAUGUGAAGAAAUAAUAAAUAUUAACCUAAUUAAUUUUAUUUGUUAAUUAAUACUAAAAAAUAAAUUAUUAAUUUGUAUAAAAAUAAUUAAAAAAUUAUUUAUUUUAAACGGAAAAAAGUAUAAAUAUAGAAUAUGACUGCAAUCGCCCGCCAAUUACCCAUGAGAGUUACAGAGAAGCCUUCGAAAAUUUAUUUCAUUUCUUGGAUGCAACGCCCUGUAAGGUUCAAUUUGGCAGGCAAAGUCAGUGAAUUGGAUAAGAACAAUGACGUGUAAGGCAAACACGCAAUGGAUUGAAAGUAGAUUCACGUUGCCACGUUGCAUUAAAUUAUGCGCUGUAUGUGCCUCCUCUCUGGUUUUACUUUUAAUAACGCAAUAAACAAUUAUUAUUGAACAGAAAAGAAAUAGCAGCUCUAUUUCCGGUAACGAAAGGAAAUUAUGCGCUGUAUGUGCCCUACCGUAUAUUUUAAUUAAUUUUUGUUAUUAUGUUUAAAUAUAUUAAAGAAUUUAUUUUUUAAUACUAAUUAAUAAUAAAAUUAUUUAUAUUUAUUUUAAUUUAUUCAUCAAAAGUAUAAUAAAUAGUUUUGAACUCUUUAUUUUAAAAGUAACUUUAAUUAAAGGUGCAUCUCUUCUUAAUAUUUUAAAAAUUAAAUAUUAUGAACCAUAAUAAACUACCGUAAAAAAUAAAUUAAAGUGAACAUAAGGAAUUAUAAUUAAUGGGUUAUCCCAUCUAAUCUCGAUAAAUAAGUGGGCAGUGGAAACCAAGUGCACACAACCCACAAACCAAAGCAUACUAUAUAUUGCGGAACCCCACUUUUGGUUUUGUGUAUCAACAAUGGCGACUUCAACCCUGAAUCCUAAUGCUCCAAUUUUCAUUCCUACCGAAUACCGUGAAGUGGAGGACUUUUCCGACCAGUGGUGGGAGCUCGUCCACUCUUCUCCCUGGUUCCGCCAUUACUGGCUUCGUGAAUGCUUCUCCGAACCUGACUCUACUGAUGACUCUACCUAUGUUCCUUUUCUCCCUGAUAUCGAUUUUAUCUCCAACGAUUUCAAGAGUAAGUAUAUCAUCAUUUAUUAAUACAAUUUUUUCUUUACUAAUUUAAAUAAUUAUAAGGAAUUUAUUUUGUUUUGAUUAGAAGAGGAGAAUAGGAACGAGUUGAUCAGUUUGGGGAUCUUGAAAUGGAAUAAAUCACGUGUUGCUGCUGAAAUCCCAAGGUAUGGGAAGAAGGCGCCGAAGAUCGUGAACGUGAAAGUGAGCCCUAGGCCUAUUCAGCAGCCAAGAUAGAGCGGAUCACAGCUCGGAAGCACCUGACUCACUGAGUUAGCUAGAUCUGUUUAGUUAAUGCACAUAGCUUGUUUAACUUGUUUUAUAUCCUGCACUUUUGUACCUUGUUUUUCCAAUAAAUGCCAAAACAAAAAUAGAUGCACAAAAUGGAGCAAAUGUUACUAGAACCAAUAUUGUGAAUAGUAAAUUAGAUUUUUAAUUUUUGUUGAUCUAUUGAGAUUUAGAAUGCAAAAGUACUUCCAAAAUCCCCAUCGAAUUAGCAACAAAAUACAUAAAGAUCAACCGAGGAGAACCAAUAGGUAGGUAUAAUAUAACAAAAUGGCAAGGUCGUCUUGCACGCUUAGAGAUUAGUAAGUUGAUAGUUGAUCCCGGUUGGUGGCUUGUUUCCCUAUCUUGUGAAGAACUUUGAUGACCUCUUCAGUAGUCACAUUUCCAGUUACUGUCACCUUAUUUAGUUGUGUAUCCACAUCAUAUGUUUCAAUAUCUGCUAUAUACCAUCCAAUUUGAAGAAAAAAAAAUACAGAUUUUCACUAAUAGAAUUUCAGAAUAUCAUAUUCUAGUGGUACUUUAAGAAAACUUUAGGAAUUUGAAGAUGUGAAAGGACUUGGCUUACCUUCAAUUUUCUUGAUUGCCUUCAAGAUUUUCUUGAUGCAUUCGUCACAGUGCAGACCAACUUUAAGCUCCACUACCUAGUGCACAAAUGAAAAGUUAAUUUCAUCAACAACAAUCCAGUAUAAUCUCACUUAGUGGGGUCUGGGGAGGGUAGUAUGUACGUAGACCUUACCGCAACCCUGGGGUAAAGAGGCUGUUUCCAAAUAGACCCCCGGCAUCGUUCCUCCAAGAACUUCCCAUCUUGCUCUUGGGGAGAUUCGAAUUAACAACCUCUCGGUUGAAAGUGGGGGUUGCUUAUCAUUCUUGUCUUAAUUUCAAACUGAUUGAUAUAGUAAAAAGAUUGGAAGUUUGAUUGAAAAAACCUGCUACGAUAUGAAUUGUUUUGAGGUGUACUAAAUUACUAACAUUGGCCAUUGCAGUUGCUACGUUUCAAAACUUCUUAAUAUGCAGAGCUGCACAAUCUUCCUAACUGAUGCUAGUUUGAGAAGAAAAUGAAGAGAUGAAUGAUUUGAAUGUUUUUGAAACAGUUAGAAAGAUAUAAAGGAAGUGGCGGGG
rnacentral:lncRNA from 1 species